rnacentral:rRNA from 1 species
GAUGAACGCUGGCGGCGUGCCUAACACAUGCAAGUCGAGCGAUCGGAUGAGAAGGUUUCCUUCUUGAUGUUAGCGGCGGACGCGGGUGUAUAAUGUGGAUAACACACCCUUAUGACUGGGGUAAACUCGUGAAACCGGUGCCUAUACCGGCAUAUCUUUUCAACCGCAUGGAUCAAAAGCUUAAGGCCGUUUUGCUGUCAAUUUUCGCUGGUUGCGUGCUGCAUUAGGUAGUUGGUAAGGUAACGGCUUACCCAGGCCACGAUGCAUAGCCGGCCUGAGAGGGUGAUCAGCCACACUGGAACUGAGACACGGUCCAGACUCCUACGGGAGGCAGCAGUGGGGAAUCUUGCGCAAUGGGCGAAAGCCUGACGGAGCAACGCCGCGUGUGUGAAGAAGGUCUUCGGGUCGUAAAGCACUGUUAGUGGGGAAGAACAUAGUUAUAAUAAACCGUACACAUCUUGACGGUACCUAAUCAGAAAGCCACGGCUAACUACGUG